rnacentral:lncRNA from 1 species
AGGACGUUGAGUGAACCCACGAAGAACCCAACGCGCUUUGUAGCGUUCAAGAGAGCCAUCGGCCUUAAACUUGUGUUUGAACACCCAUUUGCCUGUAACCACAUUGGAUCGAGGUGGACGCUGAACAAGAUCCCAAGUGUGGUUAGCAAGAAGUGCAGAGAACUCCUCCUGCAUAGCUGCGCGCCAAUUGGGGUCGGCAAGCGCGGCGCGGUAGGUCCUCGGGAUGGGUGACAGGGAGGCAACCUGAAGAGUGACCGGCUGUGGUUUGACCGGCUGUCGAAAGCCGGCCUUUCCCCUCGUUCUCAUGGCAUGCUGAUUGGCCACAGGAACGAUGCGAACAGCCCCAGCAGGAAGGCGUGCUGAAGCAGCAGAAGCCGGUGUCGCAGGCCGAGGUACUGUUGGAGCAGCGGGUGGUGGUGAAACCAGGGGACGCGGGCGACGGCUGUACGUCAGGCGGACAGGUGGUAUGGGCGCCAGUGCAGCCAUAUCAGUCGGGGAAAAGUGGACUGCGGGCGCCGGUGGUACACAAAACCGCCCCAGCGUUGAAAGCCGAGCGGUGGAGCUACAGGUGCAUAGCCGGCGGCUGUUGUUGGCCGGCUGGCUGCCGGGCUAGUCGUCGUCUGAGCAGCAGGUGCUGGUGAUGGCCGGCUGGAGGCCAGGCUGGUCACCGGGGGCCGGCUGGCUGCUGGAGACCUGCUGAACACCAAUGGAGCCUGGUUGGCUGCUGGGAGGUGCAGGCUGGUCGGCAUGGUAGUGUCCAAGGGGUGGCAGCCGCGUGUGGCUGCGCGGUAACACCUGGAGUACCUGUAGGAACAAAAAAUGAUGGCACUGGUGGAGCCACCACAGGGUCAGUAGAUAAAAAAUCGAAGUCCUGAGACGCGGGGCAUUCAGGGGCCUCGGAGAAUGGGAAGGAAGUCUCAUCAAAGACAACAUGCCGAGAAAUAAUGAUCCGGUUGGAGGACCGGUCGAGACAGCAAUAGCCUUGGUGAUGAGGAGAAUAACCGAGGAAGACACACAAGGAUGAGCGGGGAGCGAGUUUGUGUGGUGCAGUGGCAGACAAGUUGGGAUAACAACGACAACCAAAGACACGAAGAUGCUCAUAAGUUGGCGGGGAGCCAAAAAGAGCUUGAUGAGGAGUGUUGAAGUGAAGUGUCUUGGUAGGAAGAAUGUUAAGAAGCAUGGUGGCAGUGGAGAGUGCCUCAACCCAAUAUGCAGGUGGGACACUGGCCUGAAAUAGUAAAGAGCGAACAACGUUAUUAAUGGUUCGGAUAACAUGUUCGGCUUUACCAUUCUGAGAUGAAGUGUACGGGCAGGACAUGCGCAACUGAACACCAUGGGAGAGGAAGAAAGCACGGGCGCUGAGGUUGUCGAACUCUCGGCCAUUGUCGCACUGUAUGCCCUGAAUAGGAACACGAAACUGAGUAGCGACAUAGGCAAAGAAGUGAGACAAGGUGAAAAAGUGUCAGACUGAGUCGAAGUGAAACGCNNNNNNNNNNNNNNNNNNNNNNNNNNNNNNNNNNNNNNNNNNNNNNNNNNNNNNNNNNNNNNNNNNNNNNNNNNNNNNNNNNNNNNNNNNNNNNNNNNNNUGAUGCUGAACAGGGUUGGCAGACAUGUAUACAGUGCUGAUGUUAUCACAGUAAACCAAGGUAGCUUGCUGUAAAGGUGUGUGAAGCUCAGCAAGUAACUGACGCAGCCAAGAUGCCUCAGCUACAGCAUUGGCGACAGCACGAUACUCCGCCUCGGCACUGGAACGGGAGACAGUAUUCUGGCGCUUGGAGGACCAGGAAACUAGGUUGUCACCAAGAAAAACUGCGUAGCCUGAGGUAGACUUGCGAGUUUCAGGACAGCCUGCCCAAUCCGCAUCAGAGUAGACCACCAGCUCACUCUGACUAGAAGCACGCAAAUGAAGACCCAAAUCAAGAGUGCCACGAAUAUAACGAAGGAUCCGCUUCAAGGCUGCAAGAUGAGGCUCACGCGGAUCAUGCAUGUAAAGACACACCUGCUGAACAGCAUAUGCAAUAUCAGGCCGAGUGAAGGUGAGGUACUGUAAAGCGCCAGCAAGACUGCGAAAAUCCGUAGGAUCUGAAAUAGGGUCACCAUCAGAAGACAACUUCGGGUUGAGAUCUACUGGAGUUGAACAUGGCUUACAGGCAGCCAUCCCAGCACGAUCCAAAAUAUCCAACAUGUACUGGUGCUGUGACAGAUAUAACCCAGAGGGAGUGCGCUGAACUUGCAUGCCCAAGAAAUGAUGAAGCUCACCCAAAUCCUUCAUGGAGAAUUCUUGCUGUAGGGAGUCAAUGAUCCGACGAAGCAAUUCCGUAGAGGAGGCUAUCAAAACAAUGUCAUCCACAUAUAGCAAGAGGUAGGCAGUAUCCUGACCACGAUGAAACACGAACAGCGAGGUGUCUGUUUUGGCCUCCACAAAGCCUAGGCGCAGAAGGAAGCUUGCAAAUCUACUGUACCAAGCACGCGGCGCCUGUUUCAACCCAUAGAGAGAACGAUUGAGGAGGCACACUGUGGGGGUAUAAACCCCUAUACCCUCACGGGCCUAUAUGGGCCCCACCAUCAGAGGUGGCUCGGCCCACAAGAUGAAGACAUGCGGCGCACGACUGGUCGGCGUGCACCGCAAGGCUACAAGAUUUUGUACCAAAUAGGAUACUUUGCUUGUAACUCUGUCCCUUCAGGAUAUAUAAGGAGGGGCAGGGGUCCCUAGAGGACAGGUCAUACAGAUCAUAUUCUCUCAGCACAAAUCAAUACAACCAGACGCAGGACGUAGGUAUUACGCCAACUCGGCGGCCGAACCUGGAUAAAAAGCUUGUCCGUGUCUUGCGUCACCAUCGAGUUCGUAGUUUGCGCACCGUCUACCGAUAAACUACUACCGUGGGUAUACCCCAAGGUAGACUGCCGACUAGCUUUCGACAGUGGCGCGCCAGGUAGGGGGUGUGCAUACAGCUCUCCCGACGAACAAGAUGGCCAUCAUCCCCGACUUCGCGGCCAUGGCGGGCGACUUCACGUUCACCGUCAGCCUCAACAACUUCACCGCCAUGACCACGGAGGAGGUGUAGAUCCGAUCUGCGCCAACCACUUCUUCAUCGACGUCGGCGGCGGCUUCAACCACGCUGGCUACGGUUUCGACCACACCAGCAGCGUCUCCGACCACGCCGACAAUGCGUCACUUGCUUCCCUACUACAAAGAGAGGCAGAUCGACGACAUCGAUCUGCUCGGGCUAACGACCAAGUUGUUUGGCCUACUUGCUCUGACCACCAGUCGCAAUAAUAAUCGCCGCGAAGAACGGCGCUACGACAACCGCGACCACCGUCACGAUAACAAGUCCAAAAGCUCGAGGGCCAGACAAUUUUGUCGUUACCGACCAGACUUUCAUCCAAAGAUAAGUACACUUCUAAUAUCUUAUUUAUUUUUGGCAUAAUAUUUUUUAUUAUCCUUCAAAAACAACUUUUUGUUUAGCCACACUAGUUUUUUCUCCUACACGAGCUUUCCAGAGCCGGUACUGUCUCCGACUCCUCCCUACACGUGCACGAGAUCCGCCCUCUGCGUUCCGGGUGGUCGGCAGUAGCUCUCUGGCGAGGCUGGCAAUCCCACGCGUGUCUAGGUUCCGCACCUCAUGCUGAUUGUUGGCUAGACCAGAGCUGGUACAAGCUCUAGGAUGAAUUAACUACUCGUGCUAAUUUUAUAAUAAAAAGUCUAAAACUUAUCUCAGUGCUGAUUUUUUAUCUAGAGUUUAUUUAUACAUCAUGUACUACCUAUUUUCUCUAUAUUUAUUUUUCAGGAGUUUGGCCCAGUCGACAAGCUACGCUCGGGGACUCGUCGACUAUUCCCUACGCUGUGCCCGGGGACUGCUCCGACCACCGAGCACGUUUACGUUCCCAACCACGCUCGGGGACUUGUCGACUACUCUCUAUGCUAUGCUCGAAGACUGUGCCGACCACCGAGCACGUUUACGUUCCCAACCACGCUCGGAGACUUGUCCACCGGUCCCUACGCCGUGCUCGGGGACUGUGCCGACCACCGAGCACUAUAUGCUCGGGGACUGGUCGACCAGCUCACCAAUUUAAGAGCUUGGGGACUGCACCGACCACCGAGUACUAUACGCUCGGGGACUGGUCAACCAGCCCACCAAUUUGAGAAUUCGGGGACUGUACCGACCACCGAGCGUUAUAUGCUCGGGGACUGGUCGAUUAGUCUAUUCAAUUGCAUACGAGCAUGAUAUGCUCGGGGACUGGUAAAUUCAAUUUUUUAGACCUUGCUACAAGGCUCAUACUUCGCCUUCCAGCAAGCUCGGGGACUACAUCGGUACGAUGCAUCUGGGUGAGUUGAAUCCUCAAAUCCUGAAGGCUGCACGCAGUAAACAGUCUCAGAUAAGUUCCCAUGCAGGAAAGCGUUCUUCACAUCAAGCUAAUGCACUGGGCAGUGGCGAGAGACCACAAGAGACAGAACUGUUCGGACAGUAGCAGGCUUUACAACGGGGCUGAAAGUCUCAUCAUAGUCAAUGCCAGGACGUUGAGUGAACCCACGAAGAACCCAACGCGCUUUGUAGCGUUCAAGAGAGCCAUCCGCCUUGAACUUGUGUUUGAACACCCAUUGCCUGUAACCACAUUGGAUCGAGGUGGACGCUGAACAAGAUCCCAAGUGUGGUUAGCAAGAAGUGCAGAGAAUUCCUCCUGCAUAGCUGCGCGCCAAUUGGGGUCGGCAAGCGCGGCGCGGUAGGUCCUCGGGAUGGGUGACAGGGAG